UAAAUUAUACAUUUGAUUCUCAAACUACGCGACAAGUAAUGCUUUAGCUCUUAAAUUUUAAUUCGUUAUAAUUUCUGACUCGAUUUUUUUGAUUAAUGCAGUCAAUUUUUGUAAUCAAAUUUAAUUGACUAAAUAUUGAUAUAUCGCUAAUGUAGAAAUGAUAUAGUACUGGUGUUGUGAUUAAUAAUGCGUUAAUAAUUAAAUUGUUAUAUUUUUUUUACAUUACUAGUAUGUCAACAUUUAGUUAAUUAAAUUAAAUUAUGAAAUUUGAUUGCAAUAAUUUUAAAAAUCUAAGCUAAAAAUUAUAAUAAAUUAAAAUUUAAGAACCAGGCAUGCAAUUUACUUU
rnacentral:lncRNA from 1 species